GUGGGGACCCGGCGCGGGACCUAGAUAAGUAGGGCGAGCGGGAGGAGGUCAGACACUAGAGCCGCGUGCCCUCCUCCCCUCCCCUGCCCUCCCGUGCGCUUUGCUCUGCGGCGGAUCCCGGGUAUCCGGGAGAGUCGGGCUCGGGCCUUGCGGUUCCCAGGCUGGACUGGCCGCCCUGUUACUAAAGUUCUGAGAAGGAAAGUCAGUCGUCAAGCGUCUUGGGAUGCUCUUAAGCUGCACGAAGCUUCUGAUCACCAAGGGCCAGCGAGGCCUUAGCGCCCUGUGAGGCCUGAGAAUCCUCAAACUGAAUAUAGGACUGCGUGGCAAACUGCUAGUUGUUCGUGCAAGUAGUAGUUGGCAAACUGCUUGUACUACUGAGACGGGCAAGUGCGGGAAUAAUUACAAUAAAGUGGCAUAAGGGCCAUGUGUUCUGAAAUUAUUUUGAGGCAAGAAGUUUUGAAAGAUGGUUUCCACAGUUGAUUCUAAAUGACCAAGCUGUUUCCAUAAAAGAAAUUAUCUUCAAAAGAUGAAUAUUUGCCCAUAUUGAAGACCUUUAAAAGUCUGGUAAAAAGGUGUGGAAACUUUUCCUUAAGAAAACUUGCCCAAACUGAAGCUUCGCAAGAGACCUUUUAAUCAAAGUGAAGUUUGGGGAAAGCAUUGAGGACUUGCAGACCUGCCGACUCUUAAUUAAACAGGACAUUCCUGCGGGACUUUAUGUGGAUCCAUAUGAGUUGGCUUCAUUACGAGAGAGAAACAUAACAGAG
rnacentral:sRNA from 1 species